rnacentral:rRNA from 1 species
GAUUUCUGACAGACCGUUGCGGCCCGUGCUCGUUUCGGGCGUGUGUGCCGUGUCGUGUUUGUCAUCCUUCCAGAGAGCUGCGUCUACCAUUUACUUGGCCGGACGUACGCGAUCUGGAUCGAUUACUUUGAAAAAAUUAGAGUGUUUAAAGCAGGCUUAUGCCAUGAAUACAUUAGCAUGGAAUAAUAAUUUAGGACUUCGGUCUUAUUUUGUUGGUUUUCAGGACUGAAGUAAUGAUUAAUAGGGACAGUUGGGGGUGCUCGUAUUCAGCGGUCAGAGGUGAAAUUCUUGGAUUCGCUGAAGACGAACUUAUGCGAAAGCAUU